rnacentral:misc_RNA from 1 species
AAGUCAUAACAAGGUAUCUGUAGGUGAACCUGCAGAUGGAUCAUUAGUGAAUAACACGGGGUCUCACUCUGUGAGCCCCAAACCUCUCACAUAUCCACACACCUGUGCACCGUUGAUGAUUGCCGAUCUGCCGUAAUACGCGAUCCUGUGAUCAUUGACACCUUUACACAUUAACCUAUGUAACUGAAUGUCAUUGUAACUACGCAAGUAGAAACUAAAAUACAACUUUUGACAACGGAUCUCUUGGUUCUCC